rnacentral:lncRNA from 1 species
UGGCAACAUAUAAUUUUAUAUUACAUUUUUAAUUAAAAAAGGAAUCCAUAGCAUUGAUACCACAAUUUUACUCAUAGAGGAGCUUUCUAUUUAUUUAAAAAGUGAGUAAUAUUUGGCAAACAACCCUGUUCAGGUUUGAAAUGGGUCAUAUCCUUUCCCUCAGCUGAGCAAGUGAAAUGGAAGUGAAAUGGUCAGUGUGGCACCCUCUUCUGCUCCCACCCACCCCAAAUGUGGGAGAAGCGAAGAAACAAGCAGGUCUGUGAGGACAAACAAAUACAAGAAAAAGGUGGAAAACCCCUAUGAUUGAUUCCCUCAGAGUAUCACAGAACCAGGGGUCUGGUUGAGGCCUGUAUGGGGCAGCUCCUUCCCCUGUGGGCACCCCAUGCUCCCCACCACCUCCUCCAAGCUCUGGCUCCCCAUGCGUGCAACUGAGACCCUCUGCUUUCCGCCCCUCGCUUGGCUAUGGGCCUCAAUAUCUUCUUCCUUCCCCACCUACCCUCCUCAAGGCUGCCUGUGUCAGGUUGAUGAAGGGGUGAUGGUCAGGCAGUGCCAUCUAACAGCUCACCUUUGGGCCAGCUCUGCUUUCCCUGAAAGAGCACAUCUGCCUUAUGUUGAAGCAUUGUUAUAAGCUACAUCUACCACACAGGAAAAAUAAGUGUGAGCCUGUCGGGUUACAUUUGGAAGAGGAUCUGUGUUUAAGCCUCUCUGUGUUCUCCUCAGCUUCUAGCAGAAUUUAAAUUGUUGGACUCCUUGUGCAAUGCCUGGCACGUCUGAGGCAUUAGAUCAGUAUAAUCCAGCCUCGGCAGCAACCGGGGCCAUCUCAGGGUAUGGGAAUCACUGCAGGUUACUGCUGAGCUCCUCAGACGAGGCUGCUCCCUGCCUCCCAUAGCAGCAGCCUGCAUGGACAGUCUGCACCCUGGCAGUGGGUGCCAACACCCUCGUCCUUUGGUCACCACGGUCAGUGCAUCAGGAGAGAGGCUAGGAAAGGAAGGCUGAUGAUCCCUGAGCAGGGAGCCAGGAUGAGCCAGUAACUCACUGUUAGUCAUCCUGUCAAAGGAUCCCACCUCAGGUCAGGUGGGUUGGGGUCUGUCAAGGGGGUUCUCAUCCUCUGCUGUGCUUUUGGAAGCAGAAAGCAUGGACUGCAGUUCCUUUGAGCUAUCAGCAGACAUUUGCCAUCCUGAAUAAAUGCUCCAAGCAAUUGCCUGUUGGUGUCCCU